AUACGUAGGGUGCGAGCGUUGUCCGGAAUUACUGGGCGUAAAGAGCUCGUAGGUGGUUUGUCGCGUCGUCUGUGAAAUUCCGGGGCUUAACUCCGGGCGUGCAGGCGAUACGGGCAUACCUUGCGUACUGUAGGGGAGACUGGAAUUCCUGGUGUAGCGGUGAACUGCGCAGAUAUCAGGAGGAACACCGGUGGCGAAGGCGGGUCUCUGGGCAGUAACGGACGCUGAGGAGCGAAAGCAUGGGUAGCGAACAGGAUUAGAUACCCUGGUAGUCCAUGCCGUAAACGGUGGGCGCUAGGUGUAGGGGUCUUCCACGACUUCUGUGCCGUAGCUAACGCAUUAAGCGCCCCGCCUGGGGAGUACGGCCGCAAGGCUAAAACUCAAAGGAAUUGACGGGG
rnacentral:rRNA from 1 species